rnacentral:rRNA from 1 species
CCUACGGGUGGCAGCAGUGGGGAAUUUUCCGCAAUGGGCGCAAGCCUGACGCAGCAACGCCGCGUGAGGGAUGAAGGUCUUCGGAUCGUAAACCUCUGUCAGCAGGGAAGAACGGUCACUUUGCUAAUCGGCCUUGAAUUGACGUUACCUUCAAAGGAAGCACCGGCUAACUCCGUGCCAGCAGCCGCGGUAAUACGGAGGGUGCGAGCGUUAAUCGGAAUUACUGGGCGUAAAGGGGUCGUAGGCGGUAUGUCAAGUCAAGGGUGAAAUCCUCGCGCUCAACGUGGGAACUGCCUUUGAAACUGGCAGACUGGAGUGUGUGAGAGGAGAGUGGAAGUCAAGGUGUAGGAGUGAAAUCCGUAGAUAUAUGGAGGAACACCAGUGGCGAAGGCGACUAUCUGGCAUAUAACUGACGCUGAGGAGCGAAAGCGUGGGUAGCAAACAGGAUUAGAUACCCGUGUAGUC